rnacentral:rRNA from 1 species
AGUCGUAACAAGGUCUCCGUAGGUGAACCUGCGGAGGGAUCAUUACACAAAUAUGAAGGCGGGCUGGAACCUCUCGGGGUUACAGCCUUGCUGAAUUAUUCACCCUUGUCUUUUGCGUACUUCUUGUUUCCUUGGUGGGUUCGCCCACCACUAGGACAAACAUAAACCUUUUGUAAUUGCAAUCAGCGUCAGUAACAAAUUAAUAAUUACAACUUUCAACAACGGAUCUCUUGGUUCUGGCAUCGAUGAAGAACGCAGCGAAAUGCGAUAAGUAGUGUGAAUUGCAGAAUUCAGUGAAUCAUCGAAUCUUUGAACGCACAUUGCGCCCUUUGGUAUUCCAAAGGGCAUGCCUGUUCGAGCGUCAUUUGUACCCUCAAGCUUUGCUUGGUGUUGGGCGUCUUGUCUCUAGCUUUGCUGGAGACUCGCCUUAAAGUAAUUGGCAGCCGGCCUACUGGUUUCGGAGCGCAGCACAAGUCGCACUCUCUAUCAGCAAAGGUCUAGCAUCCAUUAAGCCUUUUUUUUCAACUUUUGACCUCGGAUCAGGUAGGGAUACCCGCUGAACUUAAGCAUAUCAAUAAGUCG